rnacentral:rRNA from 1 species
GACGAACGCUGGCGGCGUGCCUAAUACAUGCAAGUCGAACGCAGUGGGGACGGGUGAGUAACACGUGGGUAACCUCCCAUCAGAGGGGAUAACACUUGGAAACAGGUGCUAAACCGAUACUGAUGGAUGGACCCGCGGUGCAUUAGCUAGUUGGGGGGGUAACGGCUCCCCAAGGCCACGAUGCAUCGCCGGCCUGAGAGGAUGACCGGCCACACUGGAACUGAGACACGGCCCAGACUCCUACGGGAGGCAGCAGUAGGGAAUCUUCGGCAAUGGACGCAAGUCUGACCGAGCAAUGCCGCGUGAGUGAAGAAGGUUUUCGGAUCGUAAAGCUCUGUUGUUCGAGAGGCGGUAUCUAACCAAAAAGCCACGGCUAACUACGUGCCAGCAGCCGCGGUAAUUC